rnacentral:rRNA from 1 species
CCUACGGGAGGCUGCAGUGGGGAAUAUUGCACAAUGGGGGAAACCCUGAUGCAGCGACGCCGCGUGAGUGAAGAAGUAUUUCGGUACGUAAAGCUCUAUCAGCAGGGAAGAAAAUGACGGUACCUGACUAAGAAGCCCCGGCUAACUACGUGCCAGCAGCCGCGGUAAUACGUAGGGGGCAAGCGUUAUCCGGAUUUACUGGGUGUAAAGGGAGCGUAGACGGCAGCGCAAGUCUGGAGUGAAAUCCCAUGGCUUAACCAUGGAACUGCUUGGGAAACUGUGCAGCUAGAGUGCAGGAGAGGUAAGCGGAAUUCCUAGUGUAGCGGUGAAAUGCGUAGAUAUUAGGAGGAACACCAGUGGCGAAGGCGGCUUACUGGACUGUAACUGACGUUGAGGCUCGAAAGCGUGGGGAGCAAACAGGAUUAGAUACCCCAGUAGUC